rnacentral:rRNA from 1 species
GCUUACGGCCACACCGGGCUGAGUACGCCUGAUCCUCGUCCGAUCUCGGAAGCUAAGCAGGGUCGGGCCUGGUUAGUACUUGGAUGGGAGACCGCCUGGGAAUACCAGGUGCUGUAAGCU